rnacentral:rRNA from 1 species
UACGUAGGGUGCAAGCGUUGUCCGGAAUUAUUGGGCGUAAAGGGCUCGUAGGCGGUCUGUCACGUCGGGAGUGAAAACUCAGGGCUUAACCCUGAGCCUGCUUCCGAUACGGGCAGACUAGAGGUAUGCAGGGGAGAACGGAAUUCCUGGUGUAGCGGUGAAAUGCGCAGAUAUCAGGAGGAACACCGGUGGCGAAGGCGGCUUGCUGGGCCAGUUCUGACGCUGAGGCGCGAAAGCGUGGGGAGCAAACAGG